CAAGGCCGCCAGGGGUGCUCAGGCUGAGAGUCCCGACCGUGUCGGGACAACCCUCGGAACCUGCUCUCGAUAAUUCGAGCGGAGGGAAGCGCGGAAACUCAGAC
rnacentral:ncRNA from 2 species